rnacentral:rRNA from 1 species
GCGCGAGUCAUUGGGUGCUAAACCCAAAGGCGAAAUGAAAGUGAAGGAAACUAAACUUUCCAAAGGAAGAUGAGUCGACUAUUAGUCAACUCCGCAUUCCUGGGGCGUCUCUAUCUCAUUGCGAGAGGAGGCGCACCUAGAGCGUACACGCUGGUACCCGAAAGAUGGUGAACUAUGCCUGGCCAGGACGAAGCCAGGGGAAACCCUGGUGGAGGUCCGCAGCGAUUCUGACGUGCAAAUCGAUCGUCGGAGCUGGGUUUAGGGGCGAAAGACCAAUCGAACCAUCUAGUAGCUGGUUCCCUCUGAAGUUUCCCUCAGGAUAGCUUGCGCUCGGGCGAGACGAGUCUCAUCCGGUAGAGCGAAUGAUUAGAGGCCUUGGGGUCGAAACGACCUCAACCUAUUCUCAAACUCCAAAUAGAUGAGAACCCCGGCUUUCUUGAACGAUUAUACUAUUGAAGCCGGGGGCUCGGAUCAGAG